rnacentral:tRNA from 1 species
ACCUGGCUGGCUCCGUCGGUGGAGCAUGUGACUCUCGAUCUCAGGGUUGUGAGUUCAAGCCCCAUGUUGGGCA